rnacentral:rRNA from 1 species
CUCUGUCGGCGAGUGGCGAACGGGUGAGUAUAGCAUCGGAACGUGCCAAGUAGUGGGGGAUAACCAAACGAAAGUUUGGCUAAUACCGCGUAAGCUCCAAGGAGGAAAGUAGGGGACCUAAAUAAUGCCUUACGCUAUUUGAUCGGCCGAUGUCGGAUUAGCUAGUUGGUGGGGUAAUGGCUCACCAAGGCAAUGAUCCGUAGCGGGUCUGAGAGGACGAUCCGCCACACUGGGACUGAGACACGGCCCAGACUCCUACGGGAGGCAGCAGUGGGGAAUUUUGGACAAUGGGGGAAACCCUGAUCCAGCCAUGCCGCGUGUAUGAAGAAGGCCUUAGGGUUGUAAAGUGCUUUUGUUAGGGAAGAAAAGCUAGUUUUUAAUAAAAAUUAGUGAUGACGGUACCUAAAGAAUAAGCACCGGCUAACUACGUGCCAGCAGCCGCGGUAAUACGUAGGGUGCAAGCGUUAAUCGGAAUUAUUGGGCGUAAAGCGAGUGCAGACGGUUACUUAAGCCAGAUGUGAAAUCCCCAAGCUUAACUUGGGACGUGCAUUUGGAACUGGGUGACUAGAGUGUGUCAGAGGGAGGUAGAAUUCCACAUGUAGCGGUGGAAUGCGUAGAGAUGUGGAGGAAUACCGAUGGCGAAGGCAGCCUCCUGGGAUAACACUGACGUUGAGGCUCG